GUACUUACCCAGCAGGGGAGAUACCAUGAUCACGAAGGUGGUUUUCCCAGGGCAAGGCUCAUCCAUUGCACUCCAGGUGUACUGACCCCUGCAAUUUCCCCAAACAUGGGGAACUCGGCUGCAUAAUUUGUCAUAGGGAGGAGCUGCAUUCAUGCUUCCUCC
rnacentral:snRNA from 1 species